GAUGAACGCUAGCGGCAGGCCUAAUACAUGCAAGUCGAGGGGUAUGGGUUGCUUGCCACCCAGAGACCGGCGCACGGGUGCGUAACGCGUAUGCAAUCUACCUUAAUCAGGGGGAUAGCCCGGAGAAAUCCGGAUUAACACCGCAUAACAUUGAGUUGUGGCAUCACAGUUCAAUCAAAUAUUUAUAGGAUUAAGAUGAGCAUGCGUGACAUUAGUUAGUUGGUGAGGUAACGGCUCACCAAGACCACGAUGUCUAGGGGAUCUGAGAGGAUGACCCCCCACACUGGUACUGCGACACGGACCAGACUCCUACGGGAGGCAGCAGUAAGGAAUAUUGGUCAAUGGGCGCAAGCCUGAACCAGCCAUGCCGCGUGCAGGAAGACGGCCCUAUGGGUUGUAAACUGCUUUUGUACCGGAAUAAACCUUCUCUCGCGAGAGAAGCUGAACGUACGGUAAGAAUAAGGAUCGGCUAACUCCGUG
rnacentral:rRNA from 1 species